ACAGAUUGACAUUCUUGUCUUGACAACAAAGUUAGAUUCAAGGGAUUUGCAGUGCCCAAGAAAUCACAAGAAAAAGUUGUGAAGUUUGACUUUCAUGGCCAAUCUGUCGAGCUCAAGCAUGAUAGUGUUGUGCUUGGUGUUGGACUUGUUGCCAAGAAGGCUUGUGAAUUGGGUCUUUAGGUUAUAGUUGAUAAGGGGAUAAAUAUGCCUUUUUGUCCCCUUUUUUUUCUAAAAGAAAAAGGGUCUUGGCCUAACUUAAAUUAGAUUAACAAUAUUGUUAAUUUAUUUGGAUAUUGUCUGUCUUUGCUAUAAGAUGAUAGUUUGUUGUUGUUGUUUGCUAUGUUUCUUGAGCAUCUCGAUGUAUCUCAUACUUGCCAAUAUAUUUUUUUUGGUACUUGUAUAUAUAUAGUGAUCUUUCUUCCUUUAUUUUCAGGUUAAGCCUUAGGUGAAAACAAGUCUUGCCCUGGUAUUGGAGUUGUUACCAAGUAUUUUAUUCAUCUUAUCUAGAAUUAAACCUUGAAGAUUGUUCCGCCCUGCGUUUCAGGUCCUAAAAGGUAGACCUGUGCUGUUAUCUUUCAACCUACGCUCCCUUGUUAUCCAUUUCUUUGUCCAGAAAACCAAUGCAUUUAAUUUUUUUCUUUUAAAUCAUGAUGGAUCUCAUGACCGUGUACCCUUAAAAGAGAUGAAAGCAGAUUGGCAUUCUUGUCUUGACGACAAAGUUAGAUUCAAGGUGAGAGUCCGUGUAUUCCUCACUAGUGGUUAAUGCCUAGUUCCACUUUUUAGCAGGGCCAUGAACAACCUUCGCUAAGCUGCUUCCGGUAUAUAUACAAUCUUUGUUGUUGUUGUUUCUUAAAGUUUUGUAGUUUCUGCUGCCAUUUUCUAAAAAAAAAAAUUGGGAUAGUGAUGAAGUAGAUGAACUGGUACAUUUUAAGCUUGAGAAUUGCAAUGCUGAAAAAGAUACAUUGUUUCCUACAAUUUCUGAAGUUCAUUUAUUUAAUUAUCAAGAACCUAUCAGUUUUUGAAGAUGGAAGUGUCUCAUCAAUGCCUUAUCUUGCAAAACACUCACUGUCAUACUGAUUAUGACCAGUUGCAAAUUAUUUACAGUUGUUAUCUUGAUUAUUGUUUAAUUCUGAAUCUUGUUUAUUGUUACUAACCAAUUGCUUCUUUUGCAGGGAUUUGCAGUGCCCAAGAAAUCACAAGAAAAAGUUGUGAAGUUUAACUUUCAUGGCUAAUCUGUCGAGCUCAAGCAUGAUAGUGUUGUGCUUGGUGUUGGACUUGUUGCCAAGAAGGCUUGUGAAUUGGGUCUUUAGGUUAUAGUUGAUAAGGGGAUAAAUAUGUCUUUUUGUCCCCUUUUUUUUCUAAAAGAAAAAGCGUCAAGGCCUAACUUAAAUUAGAUUAACAAUAUUGUGAUUUUAUUUAGAUAUUGUCUGUCUUUGCUAUAAGAUGAUAGUUUGUUGUUGUUGUUUGUUAUGUUUCUCGAGCAUCUCAAUGUAUCUCAUGCUUGCAAAUAUAUUUUUUUUGGUACUUGUAUUCAUAUAGUGAUCUUUCUUCCUUUAUUUUCAGGUUAAGCCUUGGGUGAAAACAAGCCUUGCCCUGGUAUUGGAGUUGUUACCAAGUAUUUUAUUCAUCUUAUCUAGAAUUAAACCUUGAAGAUUGUUCAGCCCUGCAUUUCAGGUCCUAAAAGAGAUGAAAGCAGAUUGACAUUCUUGUCUUGACAACAAAGUUAGAUUCAAGGGAUUUGCGGUGCCCAAGAAAUCACAAGAAAAAGUUGUGAAGUUUGACUUUCAUGGUCAAUCUGACGAGCUCAAGCAUGAUAGCGUUGUGCUUGGUGUUGGACUUGUUGCCAAGAAGGCUUGUGAAUUGGGUCUUUAGGUUAUAGUUGAUAAGGGGAUAAAUAUGCCUUUUUGUCCCCUUUUUUUUCUAAAAGAGAAAGGGUCUAGGCUUUACUUAAAUUAGAUAAACAAUAUUGUGAAUUUAUUUGAAUAUUGUCUGUCUUUGCUAUAAGAUGAUAGUUUGUUGUUGUUGUUUGUUAUGUUUCUGAGCAUCUCAAUGUAUCUCAUGCUUGCAAAUAUAUAUUUUUUGGUACUUGUAUUCAUAUAGUGAUCUUUCUUCCUUUAUUUUCAGGUUAAGCCUUCGGUGAAAACAAACCUUGCCCUGGUAUUGGUGUUGUUACCAAGUAUUUUAUUCAUCUUAUCUAGAAUUAAACCUUGAAGAUUGUUCAGCCCUGCAUUUCAGGUCCUAAAAGAGAUGAAAGCAGAUUGGCAUUCUUGUCUUUACAACAAAGUUAGAUUCAAGGGAUUUGCAAUGCCCAAGAAAUCACAUGAAAAAGUUGUGAGACUUUCAUGGCCAAUCUGUCGAGCUCAAGCAUGAUAGUGUUGUGCUUGGUGUUGGACUUGUUGCCAAGAAGGCUUGUGAAUUGGGUCUUUAGGUUAUAUUUGAUAAGGUUAAGCCUUGGGUGAAAACAAGCCUUGCCCUGGUAUUGGAGUUAUUACCAGUAUUUUAUUCAUCUUAUCUAGAAUUAAACCUUGAAGAUUGUUCAGCCCUGCAUUUCAGGUCCUAAAAGGGAUUUGCAGUGCCCAAGAAAUCAUAAGAAAAAGUUGUGAAGUUUGACUUUCAUGGCCAAUCUGUCGAGCUCAAGCAUGAUAGUGUUGUGCUUGGUGUUGGACUUGUUGCCAAGAAGGCUUGUGAAUUGGGUCUUUAGGUUAUAGUUGAUAAGGGGAUAAAUAUGCCUUUUUGUCCCCUUUUUUUUCUAAAAGAAAAUUGGUCAAGGCCUAACUUAAAUUAGAUUAACAAUAUUGUUAAUUUAUUUGGAUAUUGUCUGUCUUUGCUAUAAGAUGAUAGUUUGUUGUUGUUGUUUGUUAUGUUUCUUGAGCAUCUCGAUGUAUCUCAUGCUUGCAAAUAUAUUUUUUUUGGUACUUGUAUUCAUAUAGUGAUCUUUCUUCCUUUAUUUUCAGGUUAAGCCUUGGGUGAAAACAAGCCUUGCCCUGGUAUUGGAGUUGUUACCAAGUAUUUUAUUCAUCUUAUCUAGAAUUAAACCUUGAAGAUUGUUCAGCCCUGCAUUUCAGGUCCUAAACGGUUAAGCCUUGGGUGAAAACAAGCCUUGCCCUGGUAUUGGAGUUGUUACCAAGUAUUUUCUCAAAGGUGGCCUUCAAGAAUAUUUAAAUCAGCAAGGAUUCCAUAUAGUUGGAUAUGGUUGCACAACGUGUAUUGGAAAUUCUGGGGACCUUGAUGAGUUGGUGACUGUUGCGAUUUUAGAUAACUAGAUAUGUCAUUGAUUGUCCAAUCUUGAAGUGGCAGCAACAUCAAGGUCAAAAUUUUAAAGUUAAACUAAUCUCAACCAUCUUGGCUUUAUUGGUUUGUAUCUCCUUCAAUGUAGCAAGAUGAAGAUAUGUAUCCAACAACCCUUGCACAUCCAAUAAAGAUACAUGUUGAUUGGCAGUAUACUGUUUGGAAAGAAAAGUCACCCUGAGUGUGCUUGAUUUUCACCGAAUAGUGAGUACCUAGUUUCACUUAGUUGAUGGAUUUGUAGAGGUAGGAUAUCGUAUUAAUUUUUCCAUUCUUGGUGCUUUUUGAAUGACAAGUUAAUAGUAUCACUUAUUUCUCCGAUUAUAUUGAGGUUUGGAAUUAUAUAAGUGGGAAGCUUAAGAAGGAUUUGUUGUGUUAGUCCAAUGUGAGUAAUCCUGAACAUUCAAUUUUCAUUGCCAUGAGAAAUUUGUAUUCACUUUAGAUAUUUCAAGUAGUAACUUCAGGUUCUUGCCAGCUUUGAAACUUCAAUUUAUUUUUUAUUUGGUCUAGGUGACAAAAUACUAAAUGUAUAUUUCAAGAGUUUUCUACAAAGAGUAGCCUUAACUUUGUAUCAUGCGGAUUAACAUGUCUUAUCC